UUUGAAUAUUCGAAUCAAUUUAUCCGCUUCGGAGCCUCCAUUCUAUUUUCUACAAUUGUUGUUCCGAGUCUGCUUGAGUGAAGGCCUCUGGUUCUUUCAUGCAUACAGUGGAUUCACAAUUUUGAGGAGUCGCCAUGGACAGAAGAUGGCAGAAGCUCUGUAAAUGUGCACCCUAUUCAUAUGUCGAUACCCCAUAAGUUGAGGCUCUGUAGAUUUGAUACUCCAAGCAUGUACAGAAACGGUUUUAGGUUCGGGAGAGGCAGGGAGGGGCGAUGUGAGAAAGAUCUAUUCUAUUAGGAUUUCUCCAUUUUCAACUACUUCCUUUGGUUUGUCUCUAUUGAUGAGAAUUGAGCUGGUGGACAAAAAGUGUGACAGAACAGUUUGUUCUGUAUAUUGGGGUUUGUUCUGUGGAUUCUUUGUCAAGUUUGUGAAGUUCAUCUGUUCUAAACAGAUAAAAAUGCUGAAUACAGGCAGUUGGAGAUGGCUAUGAUGGCUACUUUCAUUCAGGAUCUGGAGAAAAUAAAAGAAAAAUGUGUUUACAAUUGGAUUUUAUGACUGCAAGGGUGGCUGAAUUUGAAAUUUCCUCAAAUAAUUCUGAAUGGACAGAAUUUACUCCUCUUCGGUGGUAUGCAAUUACUCUUUACCCUUUCUUUUCAAAGUUCAUCCUUACUCCUGUUUCAAGCCUGUUUGAACUUCUAGAUCCGAAAGUGGUAAGACUAGUUUUCUUCCAUAAUAACCUGAUUAAAGCGAUCAAGUUACUGAGUAAUUGUAGCUCUGUUCGGGCCCAAGAGUCUCUAAAUAAUAUACUGCUGGACUUGAAUACUCCCUAAUACUGGAUGACAAGAUUGCACUGUUGAAGCAUAGGCUCAACUUGAUUUACUUUUAUGUGGACAAAGAAGAAAAUAAAGAGAAGUUAUAUCAUAGGUUUACUUCUAUGAAAUAGAUUUUGCACCAGUCCUGAAGACAAUAUACACUAUUAGUCAUUGGUUUGAAGUGAGGAUUUUCUGUCGAGCAGUUUCAUUUUGGUAUCUCUACAGGUUUCAGACUGCAAAUACAUAAUGCACCACCAUUCAGAACUUUUUGUCGUGGAGAGUGUGGUUGAUGAUCUCUUUGCACUGUUGCAGCAGAGAACACCCAAUUUUGCACAGACCCAAAAACUUUUCUUGCAUGAACUCCUUGCGGCUUCUGAUAGCUACAUGGCUGACUGACUGCAUGCUUGUUGCAAGGAUAUAUUUAUGGAGUAGACAGCAGGAGCAUGCGACUGCCUGGGAGAGCCUGUGACAGUUUUAGAAGGAACAUUGAUUACUUAAGAUAACUUAAUAGCAUUCAAUUCACAUGCAAACUUAUAUCCCUAUUUUGUGCUUUUUUUGGUCUUUGUCUAAUGUGCAUUCGGAUCUGAUUUGCUGUAAUGAAUGUGGCUGCAUAAACUUUUUUGUUUCCGUAUGGAUUUCUGUUGGUUGCAUGUAAUGAGGAUAGAUCUCAAUGUAUCAUGUAUGGUGGGGUUUGUGUAUAGUGUUCUGUGCAGUUGGUAGUUAAAGAGACUGACAGGGCAAUAUCUCUGUUUUGGACUGCAAUUAAUGUACUUGGCAGUGUAGAUAGUGUUACUGAGGAAUUAUUGCUCAGGACAACAUACCGCUGGAAACUGUUCAUCUCAAGUAGUAUUUCACUGACUGACCAGAGGUCCAGAUUGCAUGCAAUGAAAAACGAACCGACCCUGCUAGAUCUUAUUGGAGGAAAUUUCAAUUUUUUAUAGAAAAAUAAGCAACAAGAUUACUUGGGAACUUGGCUUGGACAUAUAUGCAACAGUUCAACUGCAUUGCUCCAGAGGCUGAUAUCGCAUUGCAUUUGAGAGCUCACCGAGUGGGAGUAUGUUUAUCAAUUCUUGCUAGCCCAUUGCCAGACAGGGAUGCAGGAAACAUGGCUCAAAGAUGACUCUCCAAGAUUAGAUAGCAAGGCCAGUUCUCUGAUCAUUACUUUUUUGGGCAUUCAAAGGAAACGGAACCGAGCUUGCCAGAUCUCAGGGGAAGGAAUUUUUACUUUCUAUAGAACAAGAGGCUACAGGAUUACUUGACAACUUGGGUUGGCCAUAUAUGCAACAAUCCAAUUAUAUUGCUGCAGAGGGUGUAUACAGAUGUGUUGCAGGAUUUUGGAAAAUAUCAUUACCAAGCUUCAAGGAGGAAUUGAAGGAGGUCAGCAAGCUUCGUCAUUCAAAUUUAGGUUCCCCUCUUGCACAUUCAUUGCUUGCUUUUUCUUUUCAAAGAAAAUCUUCUUCUUGUCUCUUUCAAAAUUUUGCACAUAAGAAAGUUUGUAUUUUAAUUUUAUUUUUUAAAAGAAAUCUCUUUUAUCCA